AUAACACUAUAGUAAAUGCUUUAUAUACUGACAUUGAAACGAAUAUACUGCUCAUAAUAAUUGCACAUAUGUAGACUUUAAUUGAGGUAUCCCGCGUUAUAUAAACCAUCGCACACCAUUGCGCCAAAGUGUGCUGGUCUGCGCCGAAGUGUGCUGAGCUAUUAUUUCAUUAUUCAAUCCGAUGUAAAGCAAAAUGAAUGAUACCGUUUUGAGCUAUAAAACCAAGGC
rnacentral:lncRNA from 1 species